GAUGAAGACGCAGCGAAAUGCGAUAAGUAGUGUGAAUUGCAGAAUUCAGUGAAUCAUCGAAUCUUUGAACGCACCUUGCGCCCUUUGGCUAUUCCGAAGGGCAUGCCUGUUUGAGUAUCAUGAACACCUCAACUCUCAUGGUUUUUCCAUGAUGGGCUUGGACUUUGGGGGUCUUGCUGGCCUAUAGUCAGCUCCUCUUAAAUGAAUCAGCUUGCCAGUGUUUGGUGGCAUCACAGGUGUGAUAACUAUCUACGCUUGUGGUUUCCAUCAAGUCACCUUCAGCGAUGGAGGUUCGCUGGGGCUCAUAAAGAAGGCCUCUCCUCGGUGAGGAUGGCUCCUUUGAACGUUUGAUCUCAAAUCAGGUAGGACUACCCGCUGAACUUAAGCAUAUCAAUAAGCGGAGGA
rnacentral:misc_RNA from 1 species